rnacentral:pre_miRNA from 1 species
AGUUGUAGUCUUUCAAACAGAGCUUCACAAGGACAUACCUGUAUUGGAACACUACAGCUCC